rnacentral:rRNA from 1 species
GACGAACGCUGGCGGCGUGCUUAACACAUGCAAGUCGAACGGAAAGGCCCUGCUUUUGUGGGGUGCUCGAGUGGCGAACGGGUGAGUAACACGUGAGUAACCUGCCCUUGACUUUGGGAUAACUUCAGGAAACUGGGGCUAAUACCGGAUAGGAGCUCCUGCUGCAUGGUGGGGGUUGGAAAGUUUCGGCGGUUGGGGAUGGACUCGCGGCUUAUCAGCUUGUUGGUGGGGUAGUGGCCUACCAAGGCUUUGACGGGUAGCCGGCCUGAGAGGGUGACCGGCCACAUUGGGACUGAGAUACGGCCCAGACUCCUACGGGAGGCAGCAGUGGGGAAUAUUGCACAAUGGGCGGAAGCCUGAUGCAGCAACGCCGUGUGCGGGAUGACGGCCUUCGGGUUGUAAACCGCUUUCGCCUGUGACGAAGCGUGAGUGACGGUAAUGGGUAAAGAAGCACCGGCUAACUACGUG